ACUUUAGGCGAAUUUACAACAAACUACCUACGAAUCUUACUCUCCACCUCCCACUUUCAAACAAAAUAUCAAAAUCAGGUGCCCUAAUUUCUUCCUCUCAUCAUUUUCUUUUUCUCUGUUCAAUCCUCCAUCAAUAUCAAGAUAUAACUGAAUUAUUCUGACCUUUUUUGUUCAUCAUUCAAAGAAGUAAAGAUGGAAGAUAGAGAAUAUUGGAUGUACAAAAGUGGGCGUCCUUCUGAAAUAUAUACGCAAGGCGUUUUUACUUUUCUUAGGGUUGCUGAAGC